UCCCCACCCCACCCCACCCCACCCCCACCCGCCAAGCCCAAGUGUGUGCUCCUUGCCCACCCUCGGUUUCUGGUGUCUGCGGGUGGGUGUUUAGAUAGCGCCAUCCGUUGCGUCGUUUAGAGUCCACCAACAGGUGAUGUCCUAGGGCACUUGUCUUUUUCCUUUCUGGCUUCCUUCGCUUAGCCUGAGGGUCUCUCGUUCCAGCCCCGCGGCGGCAGAUGGCACUCGUUCUGCCGCUUUUUCCUGGCUGUGUGCGAUGCCAUCGCAUAGAUGUCCCCGGGUCUGCGAAGUGCACUCACCUGUCAGUGGACCUUUAGGUGGCUUCCAGAUCUUGGCUCUGCCCCGCGGCGGCAGAUGGCACUCGUUCUGCCGCUUUUUCCUGGCUGUGUGCGAUGCCAUCGCAUAGAUGUCCCCGGCUGCGAAGUGCACUCACCUGUCAGUGGACCUUUAGGUGGCUUCCAGAUCUUGGCUCUGGUGAGUAGUGCGGCGACAGACAGAGGGGUGCCCGGGUCUGCUUCCGGGAAAGUUUGGUCCCGGUGAAAUGGAGCUG
rnacentral:lncRNA from 1 species